GACGAACGCUGGCGGCGUGCCUAAUACAUGCAAGUAGGACGCAGUUGCGAACGGGUUAGUAACGCGUAGGUAACUGCCUAUUAGAGGGGUAGAACUAUUGGAAACGAUAGCUAAUACCGCAUACUAGGAGAUAGACCGGCGUUGUAGUAGGUAGUAGGUAGGGUAAUGGCCUACCUAGGCGAGGAUACAUAGCCGACCCGGGAAGGUGAUCGGACACACUGGGACUGGGAACCUGGCCAGGCCCCUCCGGGAGGCAGGCGUAGGGAAACAUCGGAAAUGGGGGGAAACCUGGCCGAGCAAAGCCGGGUGAGUGAAGAAGGGUUUCGGGUCGUAAAGCUAUGUUGUUUAGGAAGCGUUACUUACACAGAAAGGGACGGCUAACUACGUGCCAGCAGCCGCGGUAAUUC
rnacentral:rRNA from 1 species